rnacentral:ncRNA from 1 species
UACCUGGUUGAUCCUGCCAGUAGUCAUAUGCUUGUCUCAAAGAUUAAGCCAUGCAAGUCUAAGUACGAGCUCUCGUACAGUGAAACUGUGAAUGGCUCAUUAAAUCAGUUAUGGUUCAUUUGAUCGUACAGUUUACUUGGAUAACUGUGGUAAUUCUAGAGCUAAUACAUGCGAGAAGCGCCGACCUCGCGGGAGGCGUGCAUUUAUCAGACCAAAAACCGGCCGCGUCUUCGGGCGCGUUCGCCUUGGUGACUCUGGAUAACUUUGCGGAUCGCACGGUCUAGCACCGGCGACGGAUCAUUCAAGUGUCUGCCCUAUCAACUUUCGUCGGUACGGUAUUUGCCUACCGAGGUUCUUACGGGUGACGGGGAAUC